GGACCCGCACAAGUAGUGGAGCAUGUGGUUUAAUUCGAAGAUACGCGCAGAACCUUACCAACACUUGACAUGUUCGUCGCGACUUUAAGAGAUUAAAGUUUUCGGUUCGGCCGGACGAAACACAGGUGCUGCAUGGCUGUCGUCAGCUCGUGUCGUGAGAUGUUGGGUUAAGUCCCGCAACGAGCGCAACCCUCAUUUUUAGUUGCCAUCAUUAAGUUGGGCACUCUGAAAAAACUGCCAGUGAUAAGCUGGAGGAAGGUGGGGAUGACGUCAAGUCCUCAUGGCCCUUACGUGUUGGGCUACACACGUGCUACAAUGGUAUCUACAACAGGAAGCAAGACGGCGACGUUAAGCAAAUCCUUAAAAGAUACCUCAGUUCGGAUUGCACUCUGCAACUCGAGUGCAUGAAGCUGGAAUUACUAGUAAUCGU
rnacentral:rRNA from 1 species